rnacentral:rRNA from 1 species
AUUGAACGCUGGCGGCAUGCCUUACACAUGCAAGUCGAACGGUAACGGGCCUUCGGGUGCCGACGAGUGGCGAACGGGUGAGUAAUGUAUCGGAACGUACCUUUCAGUGGGGGAUAACGUAGCGAAAGUUACGCUAAUACCGCAUAUUCUGUGAGCAGGAAAGCAGGGGAUCGCAAGACCUUGCGCUGACUGAGCGGCCGAUAUCAGAUUAGCUAGUUGGUGAGGUAAAGGCUCACCAAGGCGACGAUCUGUAGCGGGUCUGAGAGGAUGAUCCGCCACACUGGAACUGAGACACGGUCCAGACUCCUACGGGAGGCAGCAGUGGGGAAUUUUGGACAAUGGGGGCAACCCUGAUCCAGCCAUGCCGCGUGAGUGAAGAAGGCCUUCGGGUUGUAAAGCUCUUUCGGCCGGGAAGAAAUCGCACGGGCUAAUACCCUGUGUGGAUGACGGUACCGGAAUAAGAAGCACCGGCUAACUACGUGCCAGCAGCCGCCGUAACAC